rnacentral:lncRNA from 13 species
AUGGGCCUAAAAUCUUACACAAAUGCAGAUAGCAGAGGCUGGCAGCUAAAUCAUGGAUGGAGGGGAAAGAACAUUUUAGGCUUAUUUUCAGAACUGUUAAAAUGUCAAAACCUCAGGUUGUGUUACAGGUUGGGACUCAGGAUCCACGGUUUAAGAGGGUUUCGCAUGAAGAACCUGAAUAAUAAGAUUCGUCUGAGGGGACCAUGUCCACAGAUGAGACUGCUGCAGAGAAGUGAUUUGCUGAAGGUCCCACAGCCAGUAAAUGGCAGAGGUGGAAGUCAACGCCAGUGGCUCUGGCUGGGCUCUGACCACUCUACCAAACUGCACAUCCUCUGGCUCCCUGACAGCCUGGCCGUCUCUGACAUGUGACAAGCCUGUGAUGUAUCCCGUCUCUUGGGUCUGACACCACUGCCUGCCCCUGUGCCCAGAUAGGUGUUCCUGCCUUGGUUCUUACAAAACCACUGCUCAAAAGAAGCCUGUUAGUGGUGAAGGCAACACCCUUCUUUGUCUCUCAGUCCUUCCCAGGCUGCUGCCAGCCACCCAGCACUGUGUCCUUCGUGCCUUUCUUCUAAUGCCCCUAGGUCAGCCUCCACCCCGCAUUGCCACACACAGCUUUUUUUGGUAUCCUGCUCUCUCCAUGCGCCCUGCCUCACUGCCUGUUGUCACAAGUUGUUUCAAACGCUUGCAAGUAUCACGUUUUCCACUUGCGUUGCGGCAGACUAUGUGUUACAUUGAGCCCAGUGCUGAAGACAGGAGAUGAACAUGACCUGACCCAUGACCUCUCCAGAGACCUUCGGUUAGAAGACGUGCCUUUCAAUUUCGAGUUCCCCCUCCUGGCACCAAAUGGGUGCAAAGCGGGCAUUCAAUGAAUGUGCAUUCAUGUAUUUAGCAAAUGUUUAUUGCGCGCCUACGAUAUACAGGGCAGGCAGUAUGCCAGAUGCCAAGGAUAUGGCGGGAAACCAGACAGACGCAGAGUCCCCACAGCUCCAGAGGUGCAGAGCCAGCCUUGGCCAGCCCCCCUCAGUACCCCCUUGAGGGCCUGGGAAGGGUGCACGGGGGUGGAGGUAGGGGCAACCUGCGAGAAGUAAAGUCUGCGGGAAGUGGCGACAGCAACAGA